AUACGUAGGUGGCAAGCGUUGUCCGGAAUUAUUGGGCGUAAAGCGCGCGCGGGCGGUCCUUUAAGUCUGAUGUGAAAGCCCACGGCUCAACCGUGGAGGGUCAUUGGAAACUGGGGGACUUGAGUGCAGAAGAGGAAAGUGGAAUUCCAAGUGUAGCGGUGAAAUGCGUAGAGAUUUGGAGGAACACCAGUGGCGAAGGCGACUUUCUGGUCUGUAACUGACGCUGAGGCGCGAAAGCGUGGGGAGCAAACAGGAUUAGAUACCCUGGUAGUCCACGCCGUAAACGAUGAGUGCUAGGUGUUAGGGGGUUUCCGCCCCUUAGUGCUGCAGCUAACGCAUUAAGCACUCCGCCUGGGGAGUACGGUCGCAAGACUGAAACUCAAAUGAAUUGACGGGG
rnacentral:rRNA from 1 species